CAGUAGCCGCGGUAAUACGUAGGGUGCAAGCGUUAUCCGGAAUUAUUGGGCGUAAAGAGCUCGUAGGCGGUUUGUCGCGUCUGCUGUGAAAACUGGAGGCUCAACCUCCAGCCUGCAGUGGGUACGGGCAGACUAGAGUGCGGUAGGGGAGAUUGGAGUUCCUGGUGUAGCGGUGGAAUGCGCAGAUAUCAGGAGGAACACCGAUGGCGAAGGCAGAUCUCUGGGCCGUAACUGACGCUGAGGAGCGAAAGCAUGGGGAGCGAACAGGAUUAGAUACCCGGGUAGUCCCUGUCUCUUAUAC
rnacentral:rRNA from 1 species